rnacentral:misc_RNA from 1 species
GAAAUUUGUUGAAUUCCUUGGCUGUGUCAUUAGGCCAUGAGCUAAGAGUCAUGUAGACAAAAUGAUGAUGGUUACAAUUUGUCUAGCUCAAAGGUUUCACUCAUUUUAAAGAUGAUGGUUGAUGUGAUGUAUACUUGUGGGUUUUAAUCAAUCUUUGUUCCAUAUGCUGAUAUCAGCUUGCUCAUUUUCUUGAGUUCUGAAAACUUUUUUUCUCUUAUUAUUUUCCUAUUUGUCUUGUUUACUUUUGAUAAGUGCGGACUGUUACUCCUCUCUCUCUCUCUUGAACUUCAAAUGAAAGUAGAUGAAACUGGAAGCUGAUUUUUGUGUUUCUUUCUCUUCUUUUUCAUGGAAAAUUAGUUUCUUACUUUCCGAUGCUUAUGAAUUAUGCAUUUGAUUUGGUCAUAUGAGUUCUUUCUUAUAUACAACUUUUGAAUUUUUUUUCUUGCAAAUGAUUUAUU